GUGCCAUGGCGGCGGCGGCGGUGACAGGCCAGCGGCCUGAGACUGCGGAGGACAGGGAGGCCUCGAGGCCGCAGUGGGCGCCACCAGAGCACUGCAAGGCGCAGGCGGCGGCCGGGCUGGGCGACGGCGAGGACGCACCUGUGCGGCCGCUGUGCAAGCCCCGCGGCAUCUGCUCGCGCGCCUACUUCCUGGUGCUGAUGGUAUUCGUGCACCUGUACCUGGGCAACGUGCUGGCGCUGCUGCUCUUCGUGCACUACAGCAACGGCGACGACAGCAGCGACCCCGGGCCCCAGCACCGCGCCCAGGGCCCCGGGUCCGCUCCCGCCUUAGGUCCCCUCACCCGGCUGGAGGGCAUCAAGGUGGGGCACGAGCGUAAGGUCCAGCUGGUCUCCGACAGGGAUCAUUUCAUCCGAACCCUCAGCCUCAAGCCGCUGCUCUUCGAAAUCCCUGGCUUCCUGACUGAUGAAGAGUGUCGGCUCAUCAUCCAUCUGGCGCAGAUGAAGGGGUUACAGCGUAGCCAGAUCCUGCCCACUGAAGAGUAUGAAGAGGCAAUGAGCACUAUGCAGGUCAGCCAGCUGGACCUCUUCCAGCUGCUGGACCAGAACCGUGAUGGGCGCCUGCAGCUCCGUGAGGUCCUGGCCCAGACUCGCCUGGGAAAUGGAUGGUGGAUGACUCCAGAGAGCAUUCAGGAGAUGUACGCCGCGAUCAAGGCUGACCCUGAUGGUGAUGGAGUGCUAAGUCUGCAGGAGUUCUCCAACAUGGACCUUCACGACUUCCACAAGUACAUGAGGAGCCACAAAGCAGAGUCCAGUGAGCUGGUGCGGAACAGCCACCAUACCUGGCUCUACCAGGGUGAGGGUGCCCACCACAUCAUGCGUGCCAUCCGCCAGAGGGUGCUGCGCCUCACUCGCCUGUCGCCUGAGAUUGUGGAGCUCAGCGAGCCGCUGCAGGUUGUUCGAUAUGGUGAGGGGGGCCACUACCAUGCCCAUGUGGACAGUGGGCCUGUGUACCCAGAGACCAUCUGCUCCCAUACCAAGCUGGUAGCCAACGAGUCUGUACCCUUCGAGACCUCCUGCCGGCAAGUAUCUCCCAACUGGGGGCUGCCUUCAAUCCCCAGACCAGGAACGCCCAUGACACAGGCGCAGCCCUGCACUGUGGGCGUGCCCCUUGGCACGGUCAGUGAUGCCCCCACCUCUCCCCACAAGCUGUUUACCAAAUGGCAGGAAAGGGGUGGUUACUGGCCAUCGUGUCUACUGGAGUCAACACAGACUGAAGUACUCACAGACACCAAAAAUUGCCUCCAGCGUUGUGAAGCAAGGAGCAAGGCUGGGCCCCCAGCUUGUCCGGCCCAUUCCCCCAGUUGUUGAUCUUGAUUCCACUUAGAGAAGCUGAAGCUGUGCCUCCCUCCCCUGCCAAGGCAGUUCUUUCCUCUUCAGGUGGCUGUUCUGGCCCAGCCCCUUCCGGUCCCCAAGGAGCCCUUCAGCGUGCCCUGCUGCUUCUGCUAGCCUACCUUUCCCUGCUAGGCGGUUGCUCAGGGCCAUGGCAUUUAGCUAAGUGCACCUGUGAUCUUGGCCAAAAAACCACUGCAACUCACAGUAAGCCCCUGGGAGCAUCCACAACUGGGGACCUGCUCAGUGGCCCCCCUGCCUUACAGCUACAUGACAGUGCUGUUUUAUUUGAACAACGUCACCGGUGGGGGUGAGACUGUCUUCCCUGUAGCAGAUAAUAGAACCUAC